rnacentral:rRNA from 1 species
UACGUAGGGUCCGAGCGUUGUCCGGAGUUACUGGGCGUAAAGCGCGCGCAGGCGGCGGUGUUGGCCCGGCGUGAAAGCCCCCGGCUCAACCGGGGAGAGUCGUCGGGGACCGCACCGCUUGAGGGCGGUAGGGGCUGGUGGAAUGCCUGGUGUAGUGGUGAAAUGCGUAGAGAUCAGGAGGAAUACCCGUGGCGAAGGCGGCCAGCUGGGCUACACCUGACGCUGAGACGCGAAGGCGUGGGGAGCGAACGGG